AGCGAACGCUGGCGGCAGGCUUAACACAUGCAAGUCGAACGGGCAUCUUCGGAUGUCAGUGGCAGACGGGUGAGUAACACGUGGGAACGUACCCUUCGGUUCGGAAUAACUCAGGGAAACUUGAGCUAAUACCGGAUACGCCCUUUUGGGGAAAGGUUUACUGCCGAAGGAUCGGCCCGCGUCUGAUUAGCUUGUUGGCGGGGUAACGGCCUACCAAGGCGACGAUCAGUAGCUGGUCUGAGAGGAUGAUCAGCCACACUGGGACUGAGACACGGCCCAGACUCCUACGGGAGGCAGCAGUGGGGAAUAUUGGACAAUGGGCGCAAGCCUGAUCCAGCCAUGCCGCGUGAGUGAUGAAGGCCUUAGGGUUGUAAAGCUCUUUUGUCCGGGACGAUAAUGACGGUACCGGAAGAAUAAGCCCCGGCUAACUUCGUG
rnacentral:rRNA from 1 species